CUGCAGUGCCCUAUCUGUCACCAACUGCAUUCCUCAGCGUGUAACCGAUUCGCAAUUAUGGUUAUCUUUGGUGUCGUGCUCCUGUUGGGUGUUGUAUCGUUGUUGGCUGGAUCGACUGCUGGUGCAGCGAUGUCUCCUUGGUAUGGCGGAAACCAAACCGCUACGCCGCCGCUUUCCUACACAACUAACGCAACAAUCAGUUCCUGCACCGAUGUCUUCCAGUACUACACCACCAAAGCACCAGAGUUUUAUACUACAACUUACGCUUCCCCGAGCCACUACACUGAUGCCCUGAAGUAUUACUCUGCCCUGAGUUACUACACCAUCUAGGCGACGGAGUACUACAUGAUUACGUAUACUGCCUAUCCUACUACACUGAGGUUUCUAACUGCUACACCGAGGCUCCCGAUGAUUUCUCCACCAAGACGGUCGAAUACUACACCG